CUUGCCUAGGAAAUCCCGUGGACAGAGGAGCCUGGCGAGCUACAGUCCACGGGGUCGCAAAAGACUUAGCGACUAGACAACAACCUCUUUAAAGACCCUGGCUUCUAAUAAGUGUCCCAUGCUGAAGCCCUGGAAGUUAAGACUUCACCAUAUACUGGGGGCCACAGGGGCAGGGCCAGGAUUUGAACCCAGGCAGGCAGUUCCAGAAUUCACGAGCUUGGGCCAUGCGCUGCCCCUUACAGAGAAUCCCCACGGUGGGCACCGGAGCCGCAGAGAUCUCCUAACCUGUGAUUGCAGGAGUCCCAGAGUAGGCGGCGCCAGGAGGCAGUGGGAGGGACUGAUGGUCGGUGUCCUCCAAGCCCUCCUCAACAGCUCUUCAAACCCUCGUACCCCACAUUCUCUGGGAAUUCUCAAGCUCAAAAAGGACCUUCUUCCAGGGAAUCUUUCUCCUGUCACGUCAGCAGAGUGACAGACAGACGUAUAAACAGAAGAAAAGUCGCUGCCCCACCAGGACCCUGCUGGGUGCUCCUCCUGAGGAAUCCAACUGAAAGAGUAACCCUGCAGUGAGUGCCUGUUAUCCCAGAGAGGAAACAAUGGAAACCGGCUUCUCUGUGCUCUUACCUUUCCCCACAUCUCAGAGACAUCUCAGCAGAGAAUAUUCUAAUUUGCAGAGGAUUCUUUAUCACUAGUGCCACUGGAUGAAAUGCAAUGGCUGGAGCUCCAGCAGCCGUGCUGGACUGUGAAGAGACCUUAGGAAUGAAAUCUAGCAUAGAACAAUAAAGAGAAGGAACCUGGGAUAUUGAUACCAUGGGACACCAUACCUGCUCUAAACAGCUGCUCUGGACACCUUGGACAUGAGAGAGAAAAGACCAUGAGUCAGCCUGGCCUUGACAACGGGACAGCCCAGAACUCCUGGCAGAGCCUUCAUCAGAGCGGGCAGAAGGCUGCCAGGAAGGAGAAGACACUUGGGAACUCCCUUGACUUUCCAGCCUUUGCCAGCUCAGAGAGUUCUCUAGAAAGGUGGGUGGGCCUAAGGAGAACUGGACUAACUGCUGCACCAUGCUGCAGCAAGGAGAACAGCACAAGAACUAACCACGAGACUAUGUGCAUCCAAAUUAAAAAAUGUUUACCACUCUGUGCCCCCAAAUUGUCCAAUACUUUAAGUUAUAGGGACAAAGAGAAAUCUGGCUCAGACAGGUUUAGUUUGGAGGGGUUUGUUCUGUUUCCAGUCUGUUACUUAAAGAAAGUGAAAGUGUUAGUCAC